GAUGAAGAACGUAGCGAAAUGCGAUAAGUAAUGUGAAUUGCAGAAUUCAGUGAAUCAUCGAAUCUUUGAACGCACAUUGCGCCCGCCAGUAUUCUGGCGGGCAUGUCUGUCUGAGCGUCAUUUCAACCCUCAUGCCCCUAGGGCGUGGUGUUGGGGAUCGGCCAAAGCCCGCGAGGGACGGCCGGCCCCUAAAUCUAGUGGCGGACCCGUCGUGGCCUCCUCUGCGAAGUAGUGAUAUUCCGCAUCGGAGAGCGACGAGCCCCUGCCGUUAAACCCCCAACUUUCCAAGGUUGACCUCAGAUCAGGUAGGAAUACCCGCUGAACUUAAGCAUAUCAAUAGCGGAGGA
rnacentral:misc_RNA from 1 species